UACGAGAGGCCCAAACGUUAUUCGGAUUUACUGGGCGUAAAGGGCGUGUAGGCGGUCAGGUAAGUGGGACGUGAAAUGCCUCGGCUCACCCGAGGAGCGGCGUCCCAUACUGCUUGGCUUGAGUACGGGAGAGGAUGUGGGAAUUCCUGGUGUAGCGGUGAAAUGCGUAGAUAUCAGGAGGAACACCGGUGGCGAAGGCGCACAUCUGGCCCGAUACUGACGCUGAGGCGCGAAAGCUAGGGGAGCAAACGGG
rnacentral:rRNA from 1 species